GAUGAACGCUGGCGGCGUGCCUAAUACAUGCGAGUCGAGCGAACGGACGAGAAGCUUGCUUCUCUGAUGUUAGCGGCGGACGGGUGAGUAACACGUGGAUAACCUACCUAUAAGACUGGGAUAACUUCGGGAAACCGUAGCUAAUACCGGAUAAUAUUUUGAACCGCAUGGUUCAAAAGUGAAAGACGGUCUUGCUGUCACUUAUAGAUGGAUCCGCGCUGCAUUAGCUAGUUGGUAAGGUAACAGCUUACCAAGGCAACGAUGCAUAGCCGACCUGAGAGGGUGAUCGGCCACACUGGAACUGAGACACGGUCCAGACUCCUACGGGAGGCAGCAGUAGGGAAUCUUCCGCAAUGGGCGAAAGCCUGACGGAGCAACGCCGCGUGAGUGAUGAAGGUCUUCGGAUCGUAAAACUCUGUUAUUAGGGAAGAACAUAUGUGUAAGUAACUGUGCACAUCUUGACGGUACCUAAUCAGAAAGCCACGGCUAACUACGUG
rnacentral:rRNA from 1 species